GACGUAGGAUGCGAGCGUUGUCCGGAUUUAUUGGGCGUAAAGAGUUCGUAGGUGGUUUGUUAAGUCUGAUGUUAAAGACUGAGGCUCAACCUCGGAAAUGCAUUGGAUACUGGCAGACUCGAGUGUAGUAGAGGCAAGCGGAAUUCCAGGUGUAGCGGUGAAAUGCGUAGAUAUCUGGAAGAACACCAGUGGCGUAAGCGGCUUGCUGGGCUAUAACUGACACUGAGGAACGAAAGCCAGGGUAGCGAAUGGG
rnacentral:rRNA from 1 species